ACACUAUGGAAAGCUCACAGGUUUCGGUUC
rnacentral:piRNA from 1 species